rnacentral:rRNA from 1 species
GACGAACGCUGGCGGCGUGCCUAAUACAUGCAAGUAGAACGCACAGGAUGCACCGUAGUUUACUACACCGUAUUCUGUGAGUUGCGAACGGGUGAGUAACGCGUAGGUAACCUGCCUGGUAGCGGGGGAUAACUAUUGGAAACGAUAGCUAAUACCGCAUAAGAACAUUUACUGCAUGGUAGAUGUUUAAAAGGUGCAAAAGCAUCACUACCAGAUGGACCUGCGUUGUAUUAGCUAGUUGGUGAGGUAACGGCUCACCAAGGCAACGAUACAUAGCCGACCUGAGAGGGUGAUCGGCCACACUGGGACUGAGACACGGCCCAGACUCCUACGGGAGGCAGCAGUAGGGAAUCUUCGGCAAUGGGGGGAACCCUGACCGAGCAACGCCGCGUGAGUGAAGAAGGUUUUCGGAUCGUAAAGCUCUGUUGUUAAGGAAGAACGUGUGUGAGAGUGGAAAGUUCACACAGUGACGGUACUUAGCCAGAAAGGGACGGCUAACUACGUGCCAGCAGCCGCGGUAAUACGUAGGUCCCGAGCGUUGUCCGGAUUUAUUGGGCGUAAAGCGAGCGCAGGCGGUUAGAUAAGUCUGAAGUGAAAGGCAGUGGCUCAACCAUUGUAGGCUUUGGAAACUGUUUAACUUGAGUGCAGAAGGGGAGAGUGGAAUUCCAUGUGUAGCGGUGAAAUGCGUAGAUAUAUGGAGGAACACCGGUGGCGAAAGCGGCUCUCUGGUCUGUAACUGACGCUGAGGCUCGAAAGCCUGGGGAGCCAACAGG